AAACAGUUUGCCAGAAGUAGUUCCAAGACCAGUAAGCAUUGAUGACCAGUCAGUGGGAGAAGAAAAAUCUAUUGGAAGUGAUCUACCUACCGAAGUUGUACAAUGGAUACCCUUCCCCCACCCGUCGUGUUGGAAGAGGCUGCAUUGGGAAGAGAAUGCAUCAACAUCCUGGAAAGAUGUUUGUGGUGCAUUCACUCAUAACACUUUUUUUGUGAUAAAUGAGUGUAACGUAAUCUUCUUCAAGCUUGAUAAGAAGCAAACAGUUACUGUUGGUGCUGACAUCUUCAGGACAGGAAUACCGGUUUACUUAACGGAGGAAUAAGCACACAUGUUCAUCAUUGGUGCUUUAACCAGAACCGGGGAAAAUGCACUUUAUUUAUUUUCGCACAUGCGCAGUCAUACAUCUCUCAUAGGGCAUGACUGUACCAGUGUAAGAACACAACUCAACAACAUAUUAGUCCACAUGCCAACAGUUACCAAGCAAAAACACAGAUUGAUUAGUUUGAAUCAAAUGUGUUGCCGCUUGGCUGGAGAAAUCUCUCUAGGAACAGUUGACCACACAUUUAAAUUUAGAUUUAAUAGGCCUGAGUUCCAGGUUAUGCUAGCUAAAAAAUUUUGUUAGUAUAGCUGACAGCUGACCCCAGCUGUUACAAAUAGCUGACUCCAGAUGUUACAAAGUUUUGGCUUUCAAAGCCAAACCUGCCCAUUAGCCACUGAAUCUAAGAUGCUGAAAUAGAACACGUUUUCAGUAAUUGUUUUCAGUAUCUUAAUGUUGUUUUGUGUUUUCUGAUUGUUUCAGUGCAUGCAGUCAUUAAGCUUUGGACGAAGGACUUCCACAGGGCCGCCAUCUCCAAAGUUCACUCAAAAAGGCAAUAGUUGUGAAGUGGGUUUGAUUUGUAUUUUUUUUGCAUAUUAUUUUUUUUUCACUUCCAUUGGUUGAAACCUAAUUUCUCAUCAGUAAUCACUUAGUUCAUGAACAUUCGGAAGUUAAACAUCCUAAGGUUACAAUCCCCAUAACCCAUAGAGUUCACAUUUCACUCAUGUAAAUAUUGUAGCUUCAUAAAAAGAUUAAAUAAACAAUUUAUUUGGGGAAUA